rnacentral:rRNA from 1 species
GCAUAUCAAUAAGCGGAGAAAAGAAACUAACAAGGAUUCCCCCUAGUAACUGCGAGUGAAGCCGGGAAAAGCUCAAAUUUAAAAUCUGGCGGUCUUUGGCCGUCCGAGUUGUAGUCUGGAGAAGUGCUUUCCGCGCUGGACCGUGUACAAGUCUCCUGGAAUGGAGCGUCAUAGAGGGUGAGAAUCCCGUCUUUGGCACGGACUACCAGUGCUCUGUGAUGCGCUCUCAAAGAGUCGAGUUGUUUGGGAAUGCAGCUCAAAAUGGGUGGUGAAUUCCAUCUAAAGCUAAAUAUUGGCGAGAGACCGAUAGCGAACAAGUACCGUGAGGGAAAGAUGAAAAGCACUUUGGAAAGAGAGUUAAACAGUACGUGAAAUUGUUGAAAGGGAAACGCUUGAAGUCAGUCGCGUCCGCCAGAACUCAGCCUUGCAAUCUUGCCUGGUGUACUUUCUGGUGGACGGGCCAGCAUCAAUUUCGACUGCCGGACAAGGGCUGGGGGAAUGUGGCACCUUCGGGUGUGUUAUAGCCUCCAGUCGUAUACGGUGAUUGGGAUUGAGGAAUUCAGCAUGCCUUUAUGGUCGGGGUUCGCCCACGUUCAUGCUUAGGAUGCUGGCGUAAUGGCUUUAAACGACCCGUCUUGAAACACGGACCAAGGAGUCUAACAUGCCCGCGAGUGUUUGGGUGGAAAACCCAUGCGCGUAAUGAAAGUGAAAGUUGGGACCUCUGUUAUGGAGGGCACCGACGCCCGGACCAGACCUUCUGUGACGGAUCUGCGGUAGAGCGUGUAUGUUGGGACCCGAAAGAUGGUGAACUAUGCCUGAAUAGGGUGAAGCCAGAGGAAACUCUGGUGGGAGGCUCGUAGCGAUUCUGACGUGCAAAUCGAUCGUCAAAUUUGGGUAUAGGGGGCGAAAGACUAAUCGAACCAUCUAGUAGCUGGUUCCUGCCGAG